UACGUAGGGGGCAAGCGUUGUCCGGAUUUAUUGGGCGUAAAGAGCGUGUAGGCGGCCAGACAGGUCCGUUGUGAAAACUCGAGGCUCAACCUCGAGAUGUCGAUGGAAACCGUCUGGCUAGAGUCCGGAAGAGGAGUGUGGAAUUCCUGGUGUAGCGGUGGAAUGCGCAGAUAUCAGGAGGAACACCAAUAGCGAAGGCAGCUCGCUGGGACGGUACUGACGCUAAGGCGCGAAAGCGUGGGGAGCAAACAGG
rnacentral:rRNA from 1 species